GAAGAAGGACUGCUGGUUUUAUACCAGCCGCAGCAAAUAGGCCCAAACAACUGUUUAUCAAAAACACAGGUUUCUGCAAAAUCGUAAGAUGAAGUAUAGGGGCUGACGCCUGCCCAGUGCUGGAAGGUUAAAAGGAGGACUUAGCUUCGGCGAAGGUCUUAAUUGAAGCCCCAGUGAACGGCGGCCGUAACUAUAACGGUCCUAAGGUAGCGAAAUUCCUUGUCGGGUAAGUUCCGACCCGCAUGAAAGGCGUAAUGAUUUGGGCGCUGUCUCAACAAUAGACUCGGUGAAAUUUAAAUUCCAGUGAAGAUGCUGGGUACCCGCGACAGGACGGAAAGACCCCGUGGAGCUUUACUGUAGCUUGAUAUUGAAUGUUUGUGCUGCAUGUGCAGGAUAGGUAGGAGACUUUGAAGUCGGAACGCUAGUUUCGAUUGAGUCACCCUUGAGAUACUACCUCUGUUGUAUGAACGUUCUAACUCUGAUCAGUUAUCCUGAUCGAAGACAGUGUCUGGCAGGCAGUUUGACUGGGGCGGUCGCCUCCUAAAAGAUAACGGAGGCGCUCAAAGGUUUGCUCAGAAUGGUUGGAAAUCAUUCGUAGCGUGUAAAGGCAUAAGCAAGCUUGACUGUGAGACUGACAAGUCGAGCAGGUACGAAAGUAGGACUUAGUGAUCCGGUGGUUCCGUAUGGAAGGGCCAUCGCUCAACGGACAAAAGCUACCCCGGGGAUAACAGGCUCAUCUCCCCCAAGAGUCCACAUCGACGGGGAGGUUUGGCACCUCGAUGUCGGCUCAUCGCAUCCUGGGGCUGUAGUCGGUCCCAAGGGUUGGGCUGUUCGCCCAUUAAAGCGGUACGCGAGCUGGGUUCAGAACGUCGUGAGACAGUUCGGUCCCUAUCCGUCGUGGGCGCAGGAAAUUUGAGAGGAUCUGUCCUUAGUACGAGAGGACCGGGAUGGACAUACCUCUGGUGUACCAGUUGUUCUGCCAAGAGCACCGCUGGGUAGCUACGUAUGGAUUAGAUAAUCGCUGAAAGCAUCUAAGUGAGAAACUAACCUCGAGAUGAGAUUUCCCAUUCGUCAGAAGUAAGACCCCUGAGAGACGAUCAGGUAGAUAGGCUAGAAGUGGAAGUGUAGUGAUGCAUGGAGCGGACUAGUACUAAUAGGUCGAGGACUUAACCAAG
rnacentral:rRNA from 1 species